CCCUCGUCGCCGCGCCACCGCCCCAGGCCGAGGCGCUUGCGGACCCCCACUCUGUUUGCUUUGGCCUUUUCCUUCCUUCCCUCUGGGUUUUUAGCGCACGGCGGUGACCGGGACCUUCGCCCCAGGCGUCGGCUCACAGGAUAGAAGAACACAUUAGAUGACCCUGUGGAGAUGUCAUCAGCAAAAUCUAGAUUCUGGAAGCAAAUUUACUCAGUUUCUACAAUAAUGUUCCAAAAAGAAAAAAAGAAGAAGGAAGGAGAGAGGUGAAGAAACCAACAGAUGAAAAAAUGACUUAACCACCUGCAAUGAAUGGAUGGACCUUAAUUAGAUUCUUAAUCAAAGAACAAACUAUUUUAAAAAUAAAUUUUCAUGAGACAAUCUGGGGAAAUGUGACACUAACAAGAUAUUUGAUGACAUUAACAAAUGAUUAUUUUAGAUGUUAUAAUGAAAUCACAUACAUACACAUGUUUUGGGGGCUCUUACUUUUCAGAGAUAAUGCCAAAAUAUUUACCAAUGAAAUAACAUAAAGUCCGGGGUUGAGUCAAAACAAUUUGGGGUAGGGGGAAUGGACAGGGCCUAUAUAUGAAGUAGUAUCACCUAUGGAUUAAUGAUAACCAUAGAAACUGGGUGAUGGGUAUGUGGGGGUUUAUUAGUCUCUUUCUUUUGAAAUGCUUGAAAAAUUCUUUAAUGAAAACUUUUAAAAUUACAAAUGUUCAUACCAUUUGCCCUUAACCCAGCAUUUCCCCUUAUAGGAAAUUAUCUUAUAGUUAGAAUUGAUCAUGUGUAAAGUGAUAUAAGAGUAAUCACUGUAGAAUUGUUUGUAACAGCAAAAAACUGGACCAUGUUAUAUGCUCACCAGCAGGGCCUAUUUAAAUAUUGUACAGUACACUUUAGAAUUCUUUCUAUAUGCAACUGUUAAAAAGUCAUAUUCGUUGACUUAUGAUCUCCAGCGGAAGGCACAAUAAAGAACACUUUAGAUAGCAACAAGCUAUUUGUGUUAAUAAAGAAAGGAAGAGAGGAAGACAGUAGGCACAUAAAAACUGGUUGCCUCUGGGGAGAUGGGGGUGGCUGGGAGUCAGGAACAGAAGGGAGAUUAAUUUUUACUAUGUACCCUUUAUAAAAUUUAAGCUAUAUAAAUGAAUUAUCUAUUCAAAAAAUAUUUAAAAAUUUAAGCUACACAUGCUCUUU